rnacentral:rRNA from 1 species
UACGAAGGGGGCGAGCGUUGUUCGGAUUCAUUGGGCGUAAAGGGUGCGUAGGCGGCGGGGUAAGUUUGAUGUGAAAUCCCGGGGCUCAACCCUGGAAUUGCAUUGAAUACUACCUUGCUAGAGUACCGGAGAGGAAACUGGAAUUUACGGUGUAGCAGUGAAAUGCGUAGAGAUCGUAAGGAAGACCAGUGGCGAAGGCGAGUUUCUGGACGGUAACUGACGCUGAGGCACGAAGGCCAGGGGAGCAAACAGG